GGCAUGGCGCGCCUACCAUGCAGUCGAGCGAUAGCGCGGGGGCAACCCUGGCGGCGAGCGGCGAACGGGUGAGUAAUACAUCGGAACGUACCCCGUACUGGGGGAUAACUCAGCGAAAGCUGGGCUAAUACCGCAUAUGCUCUACGGAGGAAAGUGGGGGACCCGCAAGGGCCUCACGCUAUGGGAGCGGCCGAUGUCCGAUUAGCUUGUUGGUGAGGUAAAGGCUCACCAAGGCGACGAUCGGUAGCUGGUCUGAGAGGAUGAUCAGCCACACUGGGACUGAGACACGGCCCACACUCCUACGGGAGGCAGCAGUGGGGAAUUUUGGACAAUGGGGGCAACCCUGAUCCAGCCAUGCCGCGUGCGGGAAGAAGGCCUUCGGGUUGUAAACCGCUUUUGUCCGGGAAGAAAAGGCCUCUCAUAACACGGGAGGUUCUUGACGGUACCGGAAGAAUAAUCACCGGCUAACUACGUGCCAUCAGCCGCGGUAAUACGUAUGGUGCGAGCGUUAAUCGGAAUUACUGGGCGUAAAGCGUGCGCAGGCGGUCCGUUAAGUCUGAUGUGAAAGCCCCGGGCUCAACCUGGGAAUGGCAUUGGAAACUGGCGGGCUCGAGUGUGGCAGAGGGGGGGUGGAAUUCCACGUGUAGCAGUGAAAUGCGUAGAGAUGUGGAGGAACACCGAUGGCGAGGCAGCCCCCUGGGCUAACACUGACGCUCAGCACGAAAGCGUGUGGAGCACACAGGAUUACAUACCCUGAUAGUCCACUCCCUACACCAUGUCAACUGGGUGUUGGGGAAGCGAUUCCUCAGUACCGUAGCUAACGCGUGAAGUUGACCGCCUGCGGAGUACUGCCGCAGGUUAAUACUCAUAGGAAUUGACGG
rnacentral:rRNA from 1 species